rnacentral:rRNA from 1 species
UGGGGAAUUUUGGACAAUGGGGGCAACCCUGAUCCAGCAAUGCCGCGUGUGUGAAGAAGGCCUUCGGGUUGUAAAGCACUUUUGUCCGGGAAGAAAUCGCACCUGAUAAUACCGGGUGUGGAUGACGGUACCGGAAGAAUAAGGACCGGCUAACUACGUGCCAGCAGCCGCGGUAAUACGUAGGGUCCAAGCGUUAAUCGGAAUUACUGGGCGUAAAGCGUGCGCAGGCGGUUGUGCAAGACCGAUGUGAAAUCCCCGGGCUUAACCUGGGGAUUGCAUUGGUGACUGCACGGCUAGAGUGUGUCAGAGGUGGGUAGAAUUCCACGUGUAGCAGUGAAAUGCGUAGAGAUGUGGAGGAAUACCGAUGGCGAAGGCAGCCCCCUGGGAUAACACUGACGCUCAUGCACGAAAGCGUGGGGAGCAAACAGG